CACGUAGGGGGCAAGCGUUGUCCGGAUUUAUUGGGCGUAACGAGCUCGUAGGCGGCUUAGUAAGUCGGGUGUGAAACCUCCAGGCUCAACCUGGAGACGCCACCCGAUACUGCUGUGGCUAGAGUCCGGUAGGGGAGCGUGGAAUUCCUGGUGUAGCGGUGAAAUGCGCAGAUAUCAGGAGGAACACCGAUGGCGAAGGCAGGUCACUGGGCCGCAACUGACGCUGAGGAGCGAAAGCAUGGGGAGCGAACAGG
rnacentral:rRNA from 1 species